rnacentral:SRP_RNA from 1 species
CCGUGCUCCACGGGGAAUUUGCGGAUCCCUCGACCCGAACGCUUAUGCGGGGUGAAGAGCCUGUUGUGAGGCUUUUACGGAGACGAUAAAUUAAAUAUUUUCCGUUGAUAGUGCCGGAUUUUUCGGCGAAAGCAGUCGAACCGUGUCAGAUCGGGAACGAAGCAGCACUAAGAUUCAACUUUCGGGUGAAAAAUUCGUCAAAGUAGGAAAAUAUUUCAAGGAGUCGGAUUUGUAUUUGUCGAUAGACAGUGGCACGG